rnacentral:ncRNA from 17 species
AAGUUGUGGACGAAAUUAGAAUAAGAAUUGCUGGUAAUACGGCUGCGCCUUGUUUCCAUGUGCUAAAAAAUAAGGGAUAUAAAGUAACAAUGGAAACUCAUGCAUUAUCUGACGAUUGUUUAGAUUGUGUAUAUGAUUGGUAUGCGGAAAAAAUGGACAAUUUUUUAGUGCAACGAGUCCAGAAGAGUUACUUGGAUUAGUUGCAAUGUGGGAAGUUCGUGGUAAUGACUGGAGAGCUAAUUUGAAUGAGAUAAAUACUUAUCAAAAAGCCAUAGAAGAAUCCCCGUUUUUUGAUAAAAACGGCAAUGAAAUAGAGUCUGACUAAAUUUUAUUGAUAUAGCAACGAUAAUAACCGGAAAUUUCUUCCAGAUCUUUCCGGCUUUUUAUUAUUUAACUUUCGUUCAGCACACUAAACAUCCCGUCUCGCAUCCCCUUAACUGGCUGUUUAACCUGAUAAAGUUCCCUGCGCAGUUCCUGUACUUCGUUGUUAUCCCAAGCAGGAUCAAACAUCCCUCCGAGAUCUUCACGGUAACGCCCGUGCCGAUCUCAAAUCCCGCUUUUCUCAGCCAUUUGGCGCUGAUUUUGAUCACCGGCGUGUCGCUGCGGUUGGGCAGAUAACCCACGGUACAGCGACGCUGUGUUUUGGAAAUGGU